UCUCGUGUGGCUCAAUUGGUAGAGCAUGGCGCUUGCAUCGCCAGGGUUGUGGGUUCAAUUCCCACAGGGGGAC
rnacentral:tRNA from 1 species